AGGAGCCGGAUGAGUCGAGAGACUCACGUCCGGUUCUCGGAGGGCGUGGGGGUGGAAUUCCCCCGCGCUACUCGAC
rfam:Bradyrhizobium erythrophlei strain GAS478 genome assembly, contig: Ga0132009_11